rnacentral:SRP_RNA from 1 species
ACCAGGUGUGGUGACUUAUACCUUUAAUCCCUGCUACCAGGAAGGCUGAGGGUGGUGGAUGUCUUGAGCUUAGGAGUUCUGAGCUCUAGUGGGCUAAGCCAAUAUGGUGUCCAUACUAAGUGCAGAAUCAAUAUGGCAGUGGGUGGAGGGGUGAACAGGUUGCCUAAGGAAGGGCAAACUGUCCCAGGUUGGAAAUGGAAUGGGUUAAAGUUCCCACACUGAUCAAUAAUGAGGUCCUGACUGUGAGUGGCCAGUGUACUUUCAGAAUAGAGAGAGCUGGCCUUU